rnacentral:rRNA from 1 species
UACGGAGGGAGCUAGCGUUGUUCGGAAUUACUGGGCGUAAAGCGCACGUAGGCGGCUUUGUAAGUUAGAGGUGAAAGCCCGGGGCUCAACUCCGGAACUGCCUUUAAGACUGCAUCGCUUGAAUCCGGGAGAGGUGAGUGGAAUUCCGAGUGUAGAGGUGAAAUUCGUAGAUAUUGGGAAUGAACACCGGUGGCGAAGGCGGCCAACUGGACCACAACUGACGCUGAGGCGCGAAAGCGUGGGGAGCAAACAGG